CUUUUCUUUAUGCAAACUUAUGCUAGAGACAGCCAGUUCUUUAGCAAGGUCUCUCCCACCACCAUCAACAGCAAAGAGGCUGCGGUGAUCCCCAACGUAGAAGAAGAGAACUUGAAGAAGCAAGAACAAGAGCCAACCUUCAUGCCAGAGAACCAAAAUGGUUAUGGCCUGUAUGGUCAAGAGUCCACCCAGACCCAAUUUCCGACCACCACUAAACUGGGAAAUGCACCNUGCACCCUACACUACCACCACCACUUACAGCCCCUACAAAGAAACCUACACCAAAUACCCCAGCACCAACACCAAUUAUUUCAAUAACAAUCAAUACAACAACAAUGCAUACGAGGAAGAGCAACAAAACUUGGGUGAAACAAGCCUCCAUGAAAGAAGCUACACCCCCACGACCAACCAGAACAACAACUAUUACUACAAUGGUGCAAAUGGGUACAAAAA
rnacentral:misc_RNA from 1 species